UAAUACGAAGGGGGCUAGCGUUGUUCGGAAUUACUGGGCGUAAAGCGCACGUAGGCGGACUAUUAAGUCAGGGGUGAAAUCCCGGAGCUCAACUCCGGAACUGCCUUUGAUACUGGUAGUCUAGAGACCGAGAGAGGUAAGUGGAACUCCUAGUGUAGAGGUGGAAUUCGUAGAUAUUAGGAAGAACACCAGUGGCGAAGGCGGCUUACUGGCUCGGAACUGACGCUGAGGUGCGAAAGCGUGGGGAGCAAACAGG
rnacentral:rRNA from 1 species